rnacentral:rRNA from 1 species
UUAAGUUAUUAAGGGCGCACGGUGGAUGCCUUGGCACUAGAAGCCGAUGAAGGACGUUACUAACGACGAUAUGCUUUGGGGAGCUGUAAGUAAGCUUUGAUCCAGAGAUUUCCGAAUGGGGAAACCCAGCAUGAGUUAUGUCAUGUUAUCGAUAUGUGAAUACAUAGCAUAUCAGAAGGCACACCCGGAGAACUGAAACAUCUUAGUACCCGGAGGAAGAGAAAGAAAAUUCGAUUCCCUUAGUAGCGGCGAGCGAAACGGGAAGAGCCCAAACCAACAAGCUUGCUUGUUGGGGUUGUAGGACACUCUAUACGGAGUUACAAAGGACGACAUUAGACGAAUCAUCUGGAAAGAUGAAUCAAAGAAGGUAAUAAUCCUGUAGUCGAAAAUGUUGUCUCUCUUGAGUGGAUCCUGAGUACGACGGAACACGUGAAAUUCCGUCGGAAUCUGGGAGGACCAUCUCCUAAGGCUAAAUACUCUCUAGUGACCGAUAGUGAACCAGUACCGUGAGGGAAAGGUGAAAAGCACCCCGGAAGGGGAGUGAAAUAGAACCUGAAACCGUGUGCUUACAAGUAGUCAGAGCCCGUUAAUGGGUGAUGGCGUGCCUUUUGUAGAAUGAACCGGCGAGUUACGAUUUGAUGCAAGGUUAAGCAGUAAAUGUGGAGCCGUAGCGAAAGCGAGUCUGAAUAGGGCGUUUAGUAUUUGGUCGUAGACCCGAAACCAGGUGAUCUACCCUUGGUCAGGUUGAAGUUCAGGUAACACUGAAUGGAGGACCGAACCGACUUACGUUGAAAAGUGAGCGGAUGAACUGAGGGUAGCGGAGAAAUUNNNNNNNNNNNNNNNNNNNNNNNCAAUCGAACCUGGAGAUAGCUGGUUCUCUCCGAAAUAGCUUUAGGGCUAGCCUCAAGUGAUGAUUAUUGGAGGUAGAGCACUGUUUGGACGAGGGGCCCCUCUCGGGUUACCGAAUUCAGACAAACUCCGAAUGCCAAUUAAUUUAACUUGGGAGUCAGAACAUGGGUGAUAAGGUCCGUGUUCGAAAGGGAAACAGCCCAGACCACCAGCUAAGGUCCCAAAAUAUAUGUUAAGUGGAAAAGGAUGUGGCGUUGCCCAGACAACUAGGAUGUUGGCUUAGAAGCAGCCAUCAUUUAAAGAGUGCGUAAUAGCUCACUAGUCGAGUGACACUGCGCCGAAAAUGUACCGGGGCUAAACAUAUUACCGAAGCUGUGGAUUGUCCUUUGGACAAUGGUAGGAGAGCGUUCUAAGGGCGUUGAAGCAUGAUCGUAAGGACAUGUGGAGCGCUUAGAAGUGAGAAUGCCGGUGUGAGUAGCGAAAGACGGGUGAGAAUCCCGUCCACCGAUUGACUAAGGUUUCCAGAGGAAGGCUCGUCCGCUCUGGGUUAGUCGGGUCCUAAGCUGAGGCCGACAGGCGUAGGCGAUGGAUAACAGGUUGAUAUUCCUGUACCACCUAUAAUCGUUUUAAUCGAUGGGGGGACGCAGUAGAAUAGGCGAAGCGUGCGAUUGGAUUGCACGUCUAAGCAGUAAGGCUGAGUAUUAGGCAAAUCCGGUACUCGUUAAGGCUGAGCUGUGAUGGGGAGAAGACAUUGUGUCUUCGAGUCGUUGAUUUCACACUGCCGAGAAAAGCCUCUAGAUAGAAAAUAGGUGCCCGUACCGCAAACCGACACAGGUAGUCAAGAUGAGAAUUCUAAGGUGAGCGAGCGAACUCUCGUUAAGGAACUCGGCAAAAUGACCCCGUAACUUCGGGAGAAGGGGUGCUCUUUAGGGUUAACGCCCAGAAGAGCCGCAGUGAAUAGGCCCAAGCGACUGUUUAUCAAAAACACAGGUCUCUGCUAAACCGUAAGGUGAUGUAUAGGGGCUGACGCCUGCCCGGUGCUGGAAGGUUAAGAGGAGUGGUUAGCUUCUGCGAAGCUACGAAUCGAAGCCCCAGUAAACGGCGGCCGUAACUAUAACGGUCCUAAGGUAGCGAAAUUCCUUGUCGGGUAAGUUCCGACCCGCACGAAAGGCGUAACGAUUUGGGCACUGUCUCAACGAGAGACUCGGUGAAAUCAUAGUACCUGUGAAGAUGCAGGUUACCCGCGACAGGACGGAAAGACCCCGUGGAGCUUUACUGUAGCCUGAUAUUGAAAUUCGGCACAGCUUGUACAGGAUAGGUAGGAGCCUUUGAAACGUGAGCGCUAGCUUACGUGGAGGCGCUGGUGGGAUACUACCCUAGCUGUGUUGGCUUUCUAACCCGCACCACUUAUCGUGGUGGGAGACAGUGUCAGGCGGGCAGUUUGACUGGGGCGGUCGCCUCCUAAAAGGUAACGGAGGCGCUCAAAGGUUCCCUCAGAAUGGUUGGAAAUCAUUCAUAGAGUGUAAAGGCAUAAGGGAGCUUGACUGCGAGACCUACAAGUCGAGCAGGGUCGAAAGACGGACUUAGUGAUCCGGUGGUUCCGCAUGGAAGGGCCAUCGCUCAACGGAUAAAAGCUACCCCGGGGAUAACAGGCUUAUCUCCCCCAAGAGUUCACAUCGACGGGGAGGUUUGGCACCUCGAUGUCGGCUCAUCGCAUCCUGGGGCUGUAGUCGGUCCCAAGGGUUGGGCUGUUCGCCCAUUAAAGCGGUACGCGAGCUGGGUUCAGAACGUCGUGAGACAGUUCGGUCCCUAUCCGUCGUGGGCGUAGGAAAUUUGAGAGGAGCUGUCCUUAGUACGAGAGGACCGGGAUGGACAUACCUCUGGUGUACCAGUUGUCGUGCCAACGGCAUAGCUGGGUAGCUAUGUGUGGACGGGAUAAGUGCUGAAAGCAUCUAAGCAUGAAGCCCCCCUCAAGAUGAGAUUUCCCAACUUCGGUUAUAAGAUCCCUCAAAGAUGAUGAGGUUAAUAGGUUCGAGGUGGAAGCAUGGUGACAUGUGGAGCUGACGAAUACUAAUCGAUCGAAGACUUAAUCAA